rnacentral:rRNA from 1 species
UAUCUCUGUAGAGUCUGCAUAUCAAUAAGCGGAGGAAAAGAAACUAACUAGGAUUCCCUCAGUAACGGCGAGUGAAGCGGGAAGAGCUCAAAUUUGAAAUCUUCAAGGUUCUACCUUGACGAAUUGUAGUUUAAAGAAGUGUUUUCUGUUGGUGUUUUGGUAAAAGUUCUUUGGAAUAGGACAUCAUAGAGGGUGAGAAUCCCGUAUUUGACCAUUACUUCCAGCGUUGUGAUACACUUUCAAAGAGUCGGAUUGUUUGGGAAUGCAGUCCAAAAUGGGUGGUAAAUUUCAUCUAAAGCUAAAUAUUGGCGAGAGACCGAUAGCGAACAAGUACCGUGAGGGAAAGAUGAAAAGAACUUUGAAAAGAGAGUUAAACAGUACGUGAAAUUGUCAAAAGGGAAGCGUUUGACACCAGUGUUGUUUUCUCGAAAAUCAAUUAAAAAAAGUUGGAUUUUGUAUUGUUAAGACCUUAUCAGCUUACUGUACUCUUUUCUUGCUUUUUUUAAUGCACUUUUCGUUUAACAAGUCAACAUCAAUUUCUUUUGUUGUAAAAGAGUCAUUGGAAGGUGGCUUUCACUUCGGUGAAAGUGUUUAUAGCCUUUGGCUUCUGCAAUCGGAGAGAUUGAGGUCUGCAGCGUAGAUCCUUCGGGGCUAGAUACGUAGAUGCUAAGUUAUAGUUUUUUAUAGACAACUUGUUGACUAUAAUUAAUCAUGUAGCUUACUCGUUUGCGCUAUUUUACCUACGCUUAGGAUGUUGACGAUCAGCUGAGCGCG